GUGAGAGAUGCAGAGAGAGAGAGAGAGUGAGUGAGAGAUGCAGAGAGAGAGAAUGCGAGAGAGAGAGAGAGAGUGAGUGAGAGAUGCAGAGAGAGAGAGAGAGAGGGUGAGAGAUGCAGAGAGAGAGAGAGUGAGUGAGAGAUGCAGAGAGAGAGAGAGAGUGAGUGAGAGAUGCAGAGAGAGAGAGAGUGAGUGAGAGAUGCAGAGAGAGAGAGAGUGAGUGAGAGAUGCAGAGAGAGAGAGAGUGAGUGAGAGAUGCAGAGAGAGAGAGUGAGUGAGAGAUGCAGAGAGAGAGAGAGAGUGAGUGAGAGAUGCAGAGAGAGAGAGAGAGAAUGCAGAGAGAGAGAGUGAGAGAUGCAGAGAGAGAGUGAGUGAGAGAUGCAGAGAGAGAGUGAGUGAGUGAGAGAUGCAGAGAGAGAGAGUGAGAGAUGCAGAGAGUGAGUGAGAGAUGCAGAGAGAGAGAGUGAGAGAUGCAGAGAGAGAGAGUAAGAGAUGCAGAGAGAGAGUGAGAAAAAGAGGUAUAGUGUCGGUUAGUAACAGAACAUAGUCCAAACAGUGAAUCAUGCGGAACAACUAACGUGCCUAACAAACACACACUGACAGAACA
rnacentral:lncRNA from 1 species